rnacentral:rRNA from 13 species
CUCAGAUUGAACGCUGGCGGCAGGCUUAACACAUGCAAGUCGAGCGGUAACAGGGGGAGCUUGCUCCCCGCUGACGAGCGGCGGACGGGUGAGUAAUGCAUAGGAAACUGCCCAGUAGUGGGGGAUAGCCCGGGGAAACCCGGAUUAAUACCGCAUACGCCCUUCGGGGGAAAGCAGGGGAUCUUCGGACCUUGCGCUAUUGGAUGUGCCUAUGUCGGAUUAGCUAGUUGGUGGGGUAAGAGCCUACCAAGGCGACGAUCCGUAGCUGGUCUGAGAGGAUGAUCAGCCACAUCGGGACUGAGACACGGCCCGAACUCCUACGGGAGGCAGCAGUGGGGAAUAUUGGACAAUGGGGGCAACCCUGAUCCAGCCAUGCCGCGUG